rnacentral:tRNA from 2 species
GUGCCCGUAGCUCAAUUGGAUAGAGCAUCUGACUACGAAUCAGAAGGUUGGGAGUUCGACUCUCUCCGGGCACGCCA